rnacentral:rRNA from 1 species
AGAGUUUGAUCCUGGCUCAGGAUGAACGCUGGCGGCGUGCUUAACACAUGCAAGUCGAACGAAGCGAUUUAGCGGAAGUUUUCGGAUGGAAGCUAGAUUGACUGAGUGGCGGACGGGUGAGUAACGCGUGGGUAACCUGCCUCACACUGGGGGACAACAGUUAGAAAUGACUGCUAAUACCGCAUAAGCGCACAGGACCGCAUGGUCUAGUGUGAAAAACUCCGGUGGUGUGAGAUGGACCCGCGUUUGAUUAGCUAGUUGGUGGGGUAACGGCCUACCAAGGCGACGAUCAAUAGCCGACCUGAGAGGGUGAUCGGCCACAUUGGAACUGAGACACGGUCCAGACUCCUACGGGAGGCAGCAGUGGGGAAUAUUGCACAAUGGGGGAAACCCUGAUGCAGCAAUGCCGCGUGAGUGAUGAAGGUCUUCGGAUUGUAAAGCUCUGUCUUUAGGGACGAUAAUGACGGUACCUAAGGAGGAAGCCACGGCUAACUACGUGCCAGCAGCCGCGGUAAUACGUAGGUGGCAAGCGUUAUCCGGAUUUACUGGGCGUAAAGGGAGCGUAGGCGGAUAUUUAAGUGGGAUGUGAAAUACCCGAGCUUAACUUGGGAGCUGCAUUCCAAACUGGAUAUCUAGAGUGCAGGAGAGGAGAAUGGAAUUCCUAGUGUAGCGGUGAAAUGCGUAGAGAUUAGGAAGAACACCAGUGGCGAAGGCGAUUCUCUGGACUGUAACUGACGCUGAGGCUCGAAAGCGUGGGGAGCAAACAGGAUUAGAUACCCUGGUAGUCCAUGCCGUAAACGAUGAAUACUAGGUGUAGGGGCCCCAAGCCUCUGUGCCGCCGCUAACGCAUUAAGUAUUCCGCCUGGGGAGUACGGUCGCAAGAUUAAAACUCAAAGGAAUUGACGGGGACCCGCACAAGCAGCGGAGCAUGUGGUUUAAUUCGAAGCAACGCGAAGAACCUUACCUAGACUUGACAUGUCCUGAAUUACCAGUAAUGUGGGAAGUUCCUUCGGGAACAGGAACACAGGUGGUGCAUGGUUGUCGUCAGCUCGUGUCGUGAGAUGUUGGGUUAAGUCCCGCAACGAGCGCAACCCUUAUUGUUAGUUGGUACCAUUAAGUUGACCACUCUAGCGAGACUGCCCGGGUUAACCGGGAGGAAGGUGGGGAUGACGUCAAAUCAUCAUGCCCCUUAUGUCUAGGGCUACACACGUGCUACAAUGGCAAGUACAAAGAGAAGCAAUACUGUGAAGUGGAGCAAAACUCAAAAACUUGUCUCAGUUCGGAUUGUAGGCUGAAACUCGCCUACAUGAAGCUGGAGUUGCUAGUAAUCAAGAAUCAGAAUGUCGCGGUGAAUACGUUCCCGG